rnacentral:rRNA from 1 species
AUUGAACGCUGGCGGCAUGCCUUACACAUGCAAGUCGAACGGCCGCACGGGUGCUUGCACCUGGUGGCGAGUGGCGAACGGGUGAGUAAUACAUCGGAACAUGUCCUGUAGUGGGGGAUAGCACGGCGAAAGCCGGAUUAAUACCGCAUACGAUCUACGGAUGAAAGCGGGGGACCUUCGGGCCUCGCGCUUUAGGGUUGGCCGAUGGCUGAUUAGCUAGUUGGUGGGGUAAAGGCCUACCAAGGCGACGAUCAGUAGCUGGUCUGAGAGGACGACCAGCCACACUGGGACUGAGACACGGCCCAGACUCCUACGGGAGGCAGCAGUGGGGAAUUUUGGACAAUGGGCGAAAGCCUGAUCCAGCAAUGCCGCGUGUGUGAAGAAGGCCUUCGGGUUGUAAAGCACUGUUGUCCGGAAAGAAAACCUUGGCCCUAAUACGGGCGGGGGAUGACGGUACCGGAAGAAUAAGCACCGGCUAACUACGUG